rnacentral:rRNA from 1 species
GGGGAAUAUUGGGCAAUGGGGGAAACCCUGACCCAGCAACGCCGCGUGAGGGAAGAAGGUUUUCGGAUUGUAAACCUCUGUCCUUAGGGACGAAGAAGUGACGGUACCUAAGGAGGAAGCUCCGGCUAACUACGUGCCAGCAGCCGCGGUAAUACGUAGGGAGCAAGCGUUGUCCGGAAUUACUGGGCGUAAAGGGUGCGUAGGCGGUUUUUUAAGUCAUAUGUGAAAUACCCGGGCUUAACCCGGGGGCUGCAUGUGAUACUGGAGAACUUGAGUGCAGGAGAGGAAAGUGGAAUUCCUAGUGUAGCGGUGAAAUGCGUAGAUAUUAGGAGGAACACCAGUGGCGAAGGCGACUUUCUGGACUGUAACUGACGCUGAGGCACGAAAGCGUGGGGAGCAAAC